UCGAGAAUCUUCGGCAAUGGGCGCAAGCCUGACCGAGCGACGCCGCGUGUGCGAUGAAGGCCUUCGGGUUGUAAAGCACUGUCGAGGGGAAGAAAAGCCCGCAAGGGUUUGAUCGACCCCUGGAGGAAGCACGGGCUAAGUUCGUGCCAGCAGCCGCGGUAAGACGAACCGUGCGAACGUUGUUCGGAUUCACUGGGCUUAAAGGGCGCGUAGGCGGGUUGUCAAGUCAGGGGUGAAAGCCUCCAGCUCAACUGGAGAAGUGCCUUUGAUACUGAUGAUCUUGAGGGAGGUAGGGGCAUGUGGAACUUCCGGUGGAGCGGUGAAAUGCGUAGAUAUCGGAAGGAACGCCGGUGGCGAAAGCGACGUGCUGGACCUCUUCUGACGCUGAGGCGCGAAAGCUAGGGGAGCAAACGGGAUUAGAUACCCCCGUAGUCC
rnacentral:rRNA from 1 species